rnacentral:rRNA from 1 species
GACGAACCGUCCGAACGUUAUUCGGAAUCACUGGGCUUAAAGGAUGCGUAGGCGGGCGCGGAAAGUUGGGUGUGAAAUCCCUCGGCUUAACCGAGGAACGGCGCCCAAAACUACCGUGCUCGAGGGAGAUAGAGGUGAGUGGAAUUCCCAGUGUAGCGGUGAAAUGCGUAGAUAUUGGGAGGAACACCAGUGGCGAAGGCGGCUCACUGGACCGGUACUGACGCUGGAAGCGCGAAAGCGUGGGGAGCAACGGGG